AUACUAACCUGGCAGUGGAGAUAUCAAGUUCACGAGGGUGGUUUUCUUAGGAUGAGGCUUAUUCAUUGCACCCCGGAUGUGCUGACCCCUGCGAUUUCCCCAAUGUGGGCAACUCGACUACAUAAAUCGUGAUAGUGGGGGACUAUGUUUGUGCUCUUCCCUG